GCCGGACUAGCUCAUUGGUAGAGCGCUGCCCUGAAGAGGCAGGCGUGCCCAGUUCGAU
rnacentral:tRNA from 1 species